GCAGUCUGCAACUCGACUGCGUGAAGGUGGAGUCGCUAGUAAUCGCGCAUCAGCCAUGGCGCGGUGAAUACGUUCCCGGGCCUUGUACACACCGCCCGUCAAGCCAUGGAAGCCGGGAGUGCCUGAAGUGCGUGACCGCAAGGAGCGUCCUAAGGCAAUACCGGUGACUGGGGCUAAGUCGUAACAAGGUACC
rnacentral:rRNA from 1 species